CUUAGAGCAAGUAUGUAUGCAUAGAUGUGAGUUUUCAAUUGUCUCACCAGUCCUAUAAUAGGUCUUUUAAACUUAUCGAGGCGAAAUUCUAGUAUAGCCUUAAUGAAGAGAUAAUUUAGGCAUUCUUUGAUUUUAACCUAAUUAUAGCCUUAGCCGCCCUUAGUUAAAAUAUAUCCAUUAUAGCCAAUUUGAUCCUAUAUUUUUACCUAUAUAAUUCUCUUUGUUUACCUACAUUAUUUACUUAAUCCUUAGCCCAAAUACUUAACUUAUCCUUAUGAGAGAUGUUAUUUGUAAAAG
rnacentral:misc_RNA from 1 species